AGAUUGAACGCUGGCGGCAUGCCUUACACAUGCAAGUCGAACGGCAGCAUGACGUGUAGCAAUACACGUUGAUGGCGAGUGGCGAACGGGUGAGUAAUAUAUCGGAACGUGUCCUGUAGCGGGGGAUAACCUAUCGAAAGAUGGACUAAUACCGCAUACGCUCUACGGAGGAAAGCGGGGGUCGCAAGACCUCGCACUAUAGGAGCGGCCGAUAUCGGAUUAGCUAGUUGGCGGGUAAAAGCCCACCAAGGCGACGAUCCGUAGCUGGUCUGAGAGGAUGAUCAGCCACACUGGAACUGAGACACGGUCCAGACUCCGUACGGGAGGCAGCAGUGGGGAAUUUGGACAAGUGGGCGCAAGCCUGAUCCAGCCAUGCCGCGAAUGGAGUGAAAGGUAAGGU
rnacentral:rRNA from 1 species